rnacentral:lncRNA from 1 species
CCUGUAAAAGUUACAUACCAUUUUUUGCUCCACAGGAAUGCGACUAACAGUUCCCGCAGUAUGUAGAGAGCCACCCUUGGCUAUGCUCUGACUUUCUUUCCUUUUCACUCAACUUUGGGUAUUCUUCGCUAUUCCAAUAGCGAAGACAAUCUUGCCAUAUUCUAGGGUCUAUAAAACUUGGUUUUACCCUAUUUUGUCUUGCAUAAUCCAACAAACCGUUCAUUCUGAGUAUUGCUCUUUUAAAAAAAUUCUUCCAUACAGCAAAGUAAUCUGUUGGAUCCCACCAGAAAUAUUUCUACAAUAAAAACAAAAGUUUAAUAUUCAAUUAUUUGUUUUAAUAAUGUGUUAAGUAGUCUAUAAGUUAAAUCUUUACCUAAAAUUCUUUAAACAUUCCAUUUCUAUCAAAUUCUGGAACCUUCUACUAACUCGUCUAAUAGCCUUUGCAGUGCUGACAAAUGCAUUUAGUAGUAAUUUUUGCAAUU